GACGAACGCUGGCGGCGUGCUUAACACAUGCAAGUCGAACGAAGUGGCGAACGGGUGAGUAAAGCGUAAUCAACCUGCCCUUCAGAGGGGGACAACAGUUGGAAACGACUGCUAAUCCCGCAUACUGAAGGAGGGGAGUGCGUCUGAUUCGCUCGUUGGAGGGGUAACGGCCAACCAAGGCGAUGAGCAGUAGCCGGUCUGAGAGGAUGAACGGCCACAGUGGGACUGAGACACGGCCCAGACUCCUACGGGAGGCAGCAGUGGGGAAUCUUCCGAAAUUGACGAAAGUCUGACGGAGCAACGCCGCGUGAGUGAUGACGGCCUUCGGGUUGUAAAGCUCUGUUAAUCGGGACGCGGUACCGGAAUAGAAAGCCACGGCUAACUACGUGCCAGCCGCCGCGGUAAUAC
rnacentral:rRNA from 1 species